rnacentral:lncRNA from 1 species
GAAAAUGGACAUUUAACAUGGGACUAUCUAAAAUAGUAAUAAAGACUUUUAUCAUGGGACGGAGGGAGUAAUAAUUAUCAGAGUAAAUGUGGAAAACAACUAUUAUUUAUAGACUAACAAAGAGGUUAUCCUUAUUUUCGAGAAUGCAUAAUACAUAUCAUUGCAUAUCUAUUCCAUCUUCGAUCUAAGGCAAAAGAAUGAGUUUCAUCCACUUAGGCUGACCUUCAUCUGAUAUUAUGCACUAGGCAUACAUUGUGUUUUGAUGCAUGUGCAUAAUAUUAUUCAUCCACUUGGACUAACCUUCACCUGAUAUUAUGCACUAGACACGCAUUGUGUUCUGAUACAUUAGCAUAUAACAUUAUUCCUUCAGUUUCAC